rnacentral:rRNA from 1 species
UACGUAGGGUGCAAGCGUUGUCCGGAAUUACUGGGCGUAAAGAGCUCGUAGGUGGUUUGUCGCGUUGUUCGUGAAAACCGGGGGCUUAACCCUCGGCGUGCGGGCGAUACGGGCAGACGUUGAGUACUUGCAGGGGAGACUGGAAUUCCUGGUGUAGCGGUGGAAUGCGCAGAUAUCAGGAGGAACACCGGUGGCGAAGGCGGGUCUCUGGGCAGUAACUGACGCUGAGGAGCGAAAGCGUGGGGAGCGAACAGG